CUCAAUGUCAGCCUUAGGAAGGGUAACAUCCACAUCUGGGCCCUCUCCUUUGAAUCCUGGCAUGCUGAAUUUGGGCAUUUUCACCUUGGGCAUCUUCAGGUGCCAGUCUGGGCCUCGAACAUCCACAUCUGGGGCAUUAAUAUCCACUUUGGGGCCUUUAAUAUCCAAGUCAGGAACUUGCAUGUCACCUUCCACUUUUGGCAGAGACACAUCCAUAUCACCCUUCACUUUGGGUCCUUUCAGGUUAAGAUCAAUGUCAGGCAUGGAGAUCUUGGGGGCUUUGAUGUUCAUCUCAGGCAUUUUGAAUUUGGGACCUUUCAACUUUCCCUCUGGGCCUUCGAUAUUCACAUCUGGAACAUCAAUGUCCACCUUGGGUCCUGAGACAUCAAGGUCAGCCUUGGGCAGGUUCA
rnacentral:lncRNA from 1 species